UAACCUGCCUGUAAGACUGGGAUAACUCCGGGAAACCGGGGCUAAUACCGGAUGGUUGUCUGAACCGCAUGGUUCAGACAUAAAAGGUGGCUUCGGCUACCACUUACAGAUGGACCCGCGGCGCAUUAGCUAGUUGGUGAGGUAACGGCUCACCAAGGCGACGAUGCGUAGCCGACCUGAGAGGGUGAUCGGCCACACUGGGACUGAGACACGGCCCAGACUCCUACGGGAGGCAGCAGUAGGGAAUCUUCCGCAAUGGACGAAAGUCUGACGGAGCAACGCCGCGUGAGUGAUGAAGGUUUUCGGAUCGUAAAGCUCUGUUGUUAGGGAAGAACAAGUGCCGUUCAAAUAGGGCGGCACCUUGACGGUACCUAACCAGAAAGCCACGGCUAACUACGUGCCAGCAGCCGCGGUAAUACGUAGGUGGCAAGCGUUGUCCGGAAUUAUUGGGCGUAAAGGGCUCGCAGGCGGUUUCUUAAGUCUGAUGUGAAAGCCCCCGG
rnacentral:rRNA from 1 species